GAUGAAGAACGUAGCGAAAUGCGAUAAGUAGUGUGAAUUGCAGAAUUCAGUGAAUCAUCGAAUCUUUGAACGCACAUUGCGCCGCUUGGUAGUCCAUGGGGCAUGCCUGUUCGAGCGUCAUUUGUGCCUUCAAGCUCUGCUUGGUGUUGGGUGUUUGUCUCGCCUCUGCGCGUAGACUCGCCUCAAAACAAUUGGCAGCCGGCGUAUUGAUUUCGGAGCGCAGUACAUCUCGCGCCUUGCACUCAUAACGACGACGUCCAAAAGUACAUUUUUACACUCUUGACCUCGGAUCAGGUAGGGAUACCCGCUGAACUUAAGCAUAUCAAUAAGCGGAGGA
rnacentral:misc_RNA from 1 species